rnacentral:lncRNA from 1 species
CUUGUGCCACGGUGGCCCAAAUGUCAGUCAACCAGACAUGUCUUCUGAGAGUUCCCAGGAAUGUGGUGAAGAGCAACUGUAAGCGAUAAGAUUGUUCCCAGCGCUAAUAAAACUUUGGAGUUAAUUAACUGAGAAGAAGGUAAAAUGAAAUGUUGUUAUGAGGGCUAAAGUUGUUUUUCUACCUUUUUGAAAAUUAUUUUUUAUCUGUUGAAAUUAUAAUAUAAUUAUCAUCUCUCCUUCUUUUUGCUCCCCUCUCAGAAAUUAACAGCCUUGAGUUGCAGGUGGAAGGUGCAGAAGCCAAAUUAAAAACAGUCUUUUCAGGCUGAGCUCAGGAGCCUGAAUUUCCAUGCUGUAAGUGGCUGGGAUCCACUGGAGGAUUUUAAUUGUGUAAGUUGACAAGAUCAGAUUUGCUAUUCAGAAAGCACACCCUGGCACAGAUCGGUGGGUGGAAUAGAAAGUGGUUGCCCUGGAGACAGGCAGACCCAUUAGGAAGCUCUGACAAAGAUCCAGGAGAGAGAAAAUGAGGAUAGUGGUUGGAGGAAUGAGCAGAUUCAAAGACAUUUUAGAGGUGGAACGGAUGGUCGGGAGACGCUCAUUCAGUGUAAAUGCUGAAGGAAAGGAAGAACCAAGGAGCGCUGUGGUUUCCAGCUUGGAUUUCUAUAUGGAUAGUGAAUAAUUAAUGAAGAUGUGGCGGGCGGGCAUAAUGGGGACUUAAGAGGGAGGUAGUUGUAGAUGGACGUGAUCAAUAUACAUUUGUUUAAAUGUGUAUAACUUUCAAAGAGUAAGAGAAUUAUUAUUUUAAUAGAUCAAGGUAUAAAAUACAAAAAAAAGUCAAAUGGGGGGGGGGGUUUGCUAAUGAAUUCAUAUGUGACCUGUUGAAUUUGAUGUAUCUUUUGGACUUGUAGGUGAAGAAGUCACAUGUGGUGAAUAUAUUAUCAUCAGAAUGCGGAGCAAUGAAAUGUAAACAGAUAGGAAUCGUCACUAAAGCUCCAACUGCAGCCUCCGGGUGCCAUAGCUUUUGCACCAUCCAUUUGCACCAUCUCUGCAUUGCUCUCAAUCACUGCCACGAGUCUGGUGAUGCGCUAAGCUCGGGGCAGGAUCUCAAGGGCUUUGAGGAUGUCUGCAUCAUCUGUAUUGACCUGCUCCCCAGAUUAAUACCGAAGCACUGCAAUUUCUUGAGGAUUAUCCACCUAGGAGGAAAUGAUACGCUGGCCCAUCCAUAGUAGUCAAGAAACAGUCUGAGAUCCAAAAAGUGGCUUAAAAGAGGGAAAAGUUAAUCAAAAUGUCUGUGAAGCUCUGGCUUCAGUCUCUCCAGCGAGGCUUUCUGAAGCACAGCUCUGAUAGAACUAAACCCAAUGAGACACCGCCUACAAGAGGAAUCCAGCGUGUGAACGAAGACUAAAAAGCAAAACAGCAGCGUCUGGAGUGGACAGCUUCUCUCACUCAGAGAACUGUAGCCUCAAAUUCCUGGCAGAGGUUUCUUGGAAGAGAAGAAUGAGAUUGGAUCUGAGAAAAUGUGGCUGGUAAUGAACUCUACGAAGGGAUUUUUAUACUCUCUCUUUGGCAGUCCAUCCUGUGAAAUAAUAAUGAGGUUGGAGGAUGGCUGCUAACCAUCCCUUGCUUUUCCGUGCCAGGGAACCACCAUCUCAGAUGGUAGAAACCACUCAGAAGGAUCAACUGCUGCAGACGGGAAGAGGAGCAACCUCGUGAAUAAUUUCGUGACAGGAUAUUGCAGGAGGGACUUUGUCCAAAUGUGUGCAGGGUAGUUGGCUACAGCAACAAGGAUGACGAACACAGAUGAAUUGAUCAGGAUGUAACCAUUCAAAGUUGAGAGGAUUAGAGGACUUCUCCGAGGCGGCUCCAAUGGAUGCCAGCAGAGUUAAAGUGUCCAAUGGAGAGAAGAGAAGGCUUGGGAAAUCCAGAGUCCAUUCAUUCAUCGCCCUCCUCCUAGAACAACAAAAGCGAGCCCCAGUACUCAUCAGCAUGGACUCUGUGUGUAGUCAUCUCCCUUAGUUUCAGAGGUUCCUGCCUACAGCAAAACUUUAGAGGCUUAGAGUUUAACGGUCAUAGCUUAUUCACCUCCAACUGUGUCCUAGUUCAAGAGAAACACUUCACAUAUCUGUAGGGAGAAGAUAAUGAACCAAGGAUACAAGUUAAGCCUUAGCUAAGACCUGUUACUCAGGAAAAAGAGCUAAAACAAGCUGCUUAGAUCAGCACCAAUGUUAGGUAGAGAGAAAAAGAAACGCUGCAUAGAAAUCUUAAGGUUCACAUGUGCUCCAGGCUGGGUCAACAACUUCUAAUUUCCUUUGCCAACCAACCAUGUCUUUGACAGAAAUGAUCCUUCUACAUAGACCACAGAGGGAUCCAAUGGAGGUUUCUCUUCCUGAAUUUGGGGAUUCAGAAUCUGGACAAAUUCCUUUCCAUCAAAGUCCAGUACAAAAGUAGUACCAUGGCAGUCCCUGCAGGGACUUGCAUCACUUUCCCUAGAGAUAUCAAGAGAAUUUUUAGUGAUAAGAAUAUGGCACAAAAUGAGAAAUCCCAUUACUCUUAAGAGAAUCUCUUCCUUCUCAAAGGCACCUGAUUAAUACAUAUAGUACUAUCAGUAAGGCUGAGCAAAAGGAUACUGAUGUUCUGAGUGAUCUUAAAUCAUGUAAUAAUAACUUUAUUCGUAGUAUAGAACGGAAUAUUCCCUAUUAGUAAUCAGUUCCUUUGCCAGAUCCUCAUAGUAUCUUAGUCACUGUUUUAUUGUUAUGAAGAGAAACUUUGACCACAGCACCUCUUAGAAAAAAGGAAGCAUUUAAUCGGGACUUCCUUAUGGUUUCACAGUUUUACAUAAUUGUCAACAUGGCAGAGAACAUGGGGGCACGCAAACAGACAUGGUGCUGGAGAAGUAGCGGAGAAUAUACAGCAACAUAUAGAUACAAAAUAUAGAUACAUAUAGAUACAGAAUAUAGAUACAUAUAGCUACAUAUAGAUCUGCAGGCAGCAGGAAGAGACUGGGACAAGGCCAUACCUUCUAAGGCUUCUCAAGGAGUGUCACUUCCUGAUGACCAAGCAUUCAAGUGUAUGAGCUUAUGGGAGCCAUUCUUAUUCAAGCCACCACACAUAGCAAAGCUGAUAAUGUCAUUUUCUGAAUUAACCAGGCCAAGGCACACUUCUUAGCAACAUGGUUACCUGGUAACCAGAGAUUUUUCUCAUCCCAUGAGAGAUUUCAUUCAAGAACUGAUCUUCUAACAGUUUUGUCUCUCUUAAGAAUGCUACAGACAGGGUGGGGUGAGGCACAGUGCUGAAGCCCCUCAAGUUUCCCAGAGGGAUGAGUCCAUGAAAGACGAAAAUCAUGUGGUCACACUGAGCAUAGACUUCACAAGCAUCAUGCUAGGAUUCCAUUUUCUUUCUCAACACAAUGAUAAAUUCUUCUUCCAAUAAGCAGAAAAUCAUCCAAUGGGAAAAAAAAAUAAAACCAACUAACUUGCAGUCCUUUGGAACAGUUUCAUAGCUUACAGGAUGGCUUCAUAACCCUGGGGACACUCGUUUUGACAUGAAAACUUCCUUCAGAACAGGAAUUCUGAUCCAACAUGUGCUCAGACAUCAUUUCAGUCACUUGCAAAUGAACAAGAAAGCUCAUGUAAAUGAGGAGGCUCAACUCCCAGGCCUGGUGAGUGGGUAAGACAUUCCUCUGCUGGGUUUUGAAGGCUGUCUGAAACCAUCGGCUGACAUCCUUCUCUGUGUGCAUGUAUGCACUAUCUACGGGAAAUUCAGCUCCAACCGGUUGUCUCUACAGCUCCCUUAAUCUUCUCCUCCCUCCUCCUGGCAUUGGCAUGUGUCCCAGGACUGCAGCGAGGAGUGCUUACCAACAAAGGUGCUGGCAUCUGCAUUUGUUUCACAGCCACAAACCUAAUGGUUCCAUGAUUUUGGCGAGCAAAACUGUCAAAAUGCCUGAGCACAAGAGAUCACAAGAUGAGCCAAGGCAUAGUGUGCAUGCCUUCCUUCCCAGCACUCGGAAGGCAGAGGCAAGGGGAUCUCUGUGGGUUCAAGGCCAGCCUGAAUCACAAGGUGUACUGGGGAUUCUUUUUUAUUGUUUUCCUUUUGCUAUCUGGAAUAGUUUGAGAUUGUAUUUGAUCAGUGCAUUAAACAAC